rnacentral:rRNA from 1 species
GAUCAUGCUCAGGAUGAACGCUAGCUACAGGCUUAACACAUGCAAGUCGAGGGGCAGCAUUAACUUAGCUUGCUAAGUUUGAUGGCGACCGGCGCACGGGUGAGUAACACGUAUCCAACCUUCCGUUUACUCAGGGAUAGCCUUUCGAAAGAAAGAUUAAUACCUGAUAGUAUGGUGAGAUUGCAUGAUAACACCAUUAAAGAUUUAUUGGUAAACGAUGGGGAUGCGUUCCAUUAGGUAG